CUUCGCCCCGGACUGAAGUGCGGUCGGGGCCGCGCGGCGGAGCGGCUGGAGCGCGCGCCUCCUAGCGGAGCCGGGGCAAUUGGAAGGCCGCGCCUCAGGAAAACAGGAUGGUAGUGAAUGGCACCGAGCCGCCCCAGGGCUGCCGCCGUCACCUCCUCGGCGGCUCCGAGUCGUGCGAGGCAGGGGACCCUUUGCCUUCAGAACAGGGCGCCCGACGUUGGGCGCGUGGACAGAGUCCUCCGGCGGCCGCGCCGCUGGGCCAGGCGGAGAGAGGCGGACGGACUUCAGGGGAGGCCCGGGCCACGCCGCGGAAACUACCCGACUCCCUGGAGGCGGCCAGGACCGACCCUGUCCCGACAAAAUGGAGUUCCCCGUGUGGCUUCAGCUCGCGGCGCGUUCCCAGAGCUCCUCAGUGAUCCGGCUUUCGGAUUGUUCGCCUUUCAUCUCAUUUGCCGUUGUCCAAAUUCUAAUUUAAAACUCAUGUGUUACUUGCUGUAAGGUUAACAAACGUACACCGCAAACUGGAUAAAGGGAUAACUUUUAUGUUGUGUAUGUUUUACCACAAUAAAAAUAAAUUUUGUAAAAAUGUGUCAGGCAGCAUUCUGAGGAGCUUCCCUGGGGGGUGCUGGGAACACCCUGCAAACAGCCUCCGAUACGGGGAGCCGGUGGAUACCAUCCUUUUCCAGGGAGGGAGGCCAAGGCCUAGGGAAAUGGCAGGGCUGCCUUCCAAAGAGUAGCAGAGCGGGUUCAGGCUUUUAUUCCACCUUCCAGAGAGACACAUACUGCGGGAACCCUAACUCCAGGAAGCUUUGUUCUAGUAAGUUGUCAGUGCAAGUUCACUCAGAAUCACUUUUCUCUGCCUUUAUACAUGAUUCUAGAACCUGAAGUGGGGUAAAUCCCCUGGGUUUAUCUAGUAUCAAGAACAGACAAUUCUUUCUUAGCCCACCAUAUCCCUUACCAGAAUCUCCAUCGAACUCCCUAUUGCACCAUCCCAGAUACUGUAUCUGGAAAUACUAAAUUACGGUUAAUUCAACUAGAAUUUAACGUUCUCGCCCGGGCGCAGUGGCUCACG
rnacentral:lncRNA from 1 species